rnacentral:rRNA from 1 species
GAUGAACGCUGGCGGCGUGCUUAACACAUGCAAGUCGAACGGUGAACACGGAGCUUGCUCUGUGGGAUCAGUGGCGAACGGGUGAGUAACACGUGAGCAACCUGCCCCUGACUCUGGUAUAAGCGCUGGAAACGGCGUCUAAUACUGGAUCUGUGACGUGACCGCAUGGUCUGCGUUUGGAAAGAUUUUUCGGUUGGGUAUGGGCUCGCGGCCUAUAAGCUUGUUGGUGAGGUAAUGCCUCACCAAGGCGACGACGGGUAGACGGCCGUGGAGGGUGACCGGCAAAACGGGAACUGAAAGAGGGCCAAAGUUACGACGGGGGGAAGAGGGGGGAAAGAUUGAACAAGGGAGAAAGGCUGGAUGAAGAAAGCCCGGGGGGGGAAAAACGCCUUUGGGGUGGAAAACCAGUUUAGCAGGGAAGAAGCGAAAGUGACGGUACCUGCAGAAAAAGCGCAGGCUAAAUACGUG